rnacentral:rRNA from 1 species
UACGGAGGGAGCUAGCGUUGUUCGGAAUUACUGGGCGUAAAGCGCACGUAGGCGGCUUUUGUAAGUUAGAGGUGAAAGCCCCGGAGCUCAACUCCGGAACUGCCUUUAAGACUGCAUCGCUUGAAUCCAGGAGAGGUGAGUGGAAUUCCGAGUGUAGAGGUGAAAUUCGUAGAUAUUCGGAAGGACACCAGUGGCGAAGGCGGCUCACUGGACUGGUAUUGACGCUGAGGUGCGAAAGCGUGGGGGAGCAAACAGG